UACGGGGGGAGCAAGCGUUGUUCGGAUUUACUGGGCGUAAAGGGCGCGUAGGCGGCCCGCACAAGUCUGCGGUGAAAACCCCCGGCUUAACCGGGGGCCGGCCGUGGAAACUGUCGGGCUGGAGGCUGGGAGAGGGCAGCGGAAUUCCCGGUGUAGCGGUGAAAUGCGUAGAGAUCGGGAGGAACACCGGCGGCGAAGGCGGCUGCCUGGACCAGUCCUGACGCUGAGGCGCGAAAGCUAGGGGAGCAAACAGG
rnacentral:rRNA from 1 species